rnacentral:rRNA from 1 species
AGUCGAACGCGAAAGAGUUCUUCGGAACUUGAGUAGAGUGGCGCACGGGUGAGUAACGCGUAAGUGAUCUACCCCUGUAUCUGGAAUAACCAUGGGAAACUGUGGCUAAUACCGGAUACGUUCAUGUGAUUGCGGUCAUGUGAAGAAAGAUGGCCUCUGACUUAAGCUAUCGUACAGGGAGGAGCUUGCGUACCAUUAGCUAGUUGGCAGGGUAAAGGCCUACCAAGGCGACGAUGGUUAGCGGGUCUGAGAGGAUGAUCCGCCACACUGGAACUGAAACACGGACCAGACUCCUACGGGAGGCAGCAGUGAGGAAUAUUGCGCAAUGGGGGCAACCCUGACGCAGCGACGCCGCGUGGAUGAUGAAGGCCUUCGGGUCGUAAAAUCCUGUCGGAUGGGAAGAAGUGUAAUGUGGUUAAUACCCAUGUUAUUUGACGGUACCAUCAAAGGAAGCACCGGCUAACUCCGUGCCAGCAGCCGCGGUAAUACGGAGGGUGCAAGCGUUGUUCGGAAUUACUGGGCGUAAAGCGCGCGUAGGCGGUUUGUUAAGUCAGAUGUGAAAGCCCAGGGCUUAACCCUGGACGUGCAUUUGAAACUGUCAGACUUGAGUAUUGGAGGGGGUGGUGGAAUUCCCGGUGUAGAGGUGAAAUUCGUAGAUAUCGGGAGGAAUACCGGUGGCGAAGGCGACCACCUGGCCAAAUACUGACGCUGAGGUGCGAAGGCGUGGGGAGCAAACAGGAUUAGAUACCCUGGUAGUCCACGCGGUAAACGAUGAGAACUAGGUGUUGGGACGGUUGAUCGUCUCAUUGCCGCAGCUAACGCAUUAAGU